rnacentral:misc_RNA from 1 species
AAGUCGUAACAAGGUUUCCGUAGGUGAACCUGCGGAAGGAUCAUUAACACGUGCAAACGUAUUAAUAUCAACCUUUCUAACAACCUGUGAAUGUCACCCCUACCUAUUUCAAUAAGGUCGUUCUAUUUCAUAUGUAGUAGGAUAGAUUGCUGUCACCGGCGAUCUAUGCAAUGGAAUAGAUACUGAGGUUUCGAACCUAAGAUCUGUUGUUAUAGGCUUUCUUUUUUUCCCCUACUACAAAAAACUAAACCAACCAAUUUCACCCUUUUAACCCUAUUUUGACUGAUGUAAGUUGUUUGUAUCGAAAGAUACGGGAACAACACCAUUUAUCUAAACUAAGCACAACUCUUAGCAAUGGAUAUCUUGGUUCUC